rnacentral:rRNA from 1 species
CCUACGGGAGGCAGCAGUGGGGAAUAUUGCACAAUGGGGGAAACCCUGAUGCAGCGACGCCGCGUGAGUGAAGAAGUAAUUCGUUAUGUAAAGCUCUAUCAGCAGGGAAGAAAAUGACGGUACCUGAGUAAGAAGCCCCGGCUAACUACGUGCCAGCAGCCGCGGUAAUACGUAGGGGGCAAGCGUUAUCCGGAUUUACUGGGUGGAAAGGGAGCGUAGACGGCAGUGCAAGUCUGGAGUGAAAGGCGGGGGCUCAACCCCCGGACUGCUCUGGAAACUGUACGGCUGGAGUGCAGGAGAGGUAAGUGGAAUUCCGGGUGUAGCGGUGAAAUGCGUAGAUAUUAGGAGGAACACCAGUGGCGAAGGCGGCUUACUGGACUGUAACUGACGUUGAGGCUCGAAAGCGUGGGGAGCAAACAGGAUUAGAUACCCUGGUAGUC